GUGAGGGAAUGGUGAAAAGUACCCCGGGAGGGGAGUGAAAUAGUACCUGAAACCGUGUGCUUACAAGCCGUUGGAGCCUUUUGGGGUGACAGCGUGCCUUUUGAAGAAUGAGCCUGCGAGUUAGUGUUAUGUCGCGAGGUUAACCCGUGUGGGGUAUCCGUAGCGAAAGCGAGUCUGAAUAGGGCGUUUGAGUGGCAUGACCUAGACCCGAAGCGGAGUGAUCUAUCCAUGGCCAGGUUGAAGCGACGGUAAGACGUCGUGGAGGACCGAACCCACUUCAGUUGAAAAUGGAGGGGAUGAGCUGUGGAUAGGGGUGAAAGGCCAAUCAAACUCUGUGAUAGCUGGUUCUCCCCGAAAUGCAUUUAGGUGCAGCGUUACGUGUUUCUUGCCGGAGGUAGAGCUACUGGAUGGCCGAUGGGCCUUCACGGGUUACUGACGUCAGCUAAACUCCGAAUGCCGGUAAGUGAGAGCGUAGCAGUGAGACAGUGGGGGAUAAGCUUCAUUGUCGAGAGGGAAACAGCCCAGACCACCAACUAAGGCCCCUAAGCGUGUGCUAAGUGGGAAAGGAUGUGGAGUUGCUUAGACAACCAGGAGGUUGGCUUAGAAGCAGCCAUCCUUGAAAGAGUGCGUAAUAGCUCACUGGUCAAGUGAUUCUGCGCCGAUAAUGUAGCGGGGCUCAAGUACACCGCCGAAGUUGUGGCAAUGAUCUUUUUGGAUUGUUGGGUAGGGGAGCGUCGUGUGGCCGUUGAAGCUGCGGUGUAAACCAGUGGUGGAGGCUAUGCGAGUGAGAAUGCAGGCAUGAGUAGCGAAAGAUGAGUGAGAAACUCAUCCGCCGGAUGAUCAAGGGUUCCAGGGUCAAGUUAAUCUGCCCUGGGUUAGUCGGGGCCUAAGGCGAGGCCGACAGGCGUAGUCGAUGGAUAACGGGUUGAUAUUCCCGUACCGGUGAAGAACCGCCCAUACUGAUAUUGUGAUGCUAACCAUGCGAAGCAUGAUGUGCAGGCUUUUGUUUGUGUGUUGUGUGGGUUGUGGGACCCGAUCUUUGGAGGUAAACGUGUUAACAGGUGUGACGCAGGAAGGUAGCCAAGCCACGCGAUGGUUGUCGUGGUCUAAGCGUGUAGGGUUGUCGGUUGUUAAAUGCGCCGGCUGUGUGCCUGAGACGUGAUGGGACCCUGUUUUUGGGGGAUUUGGUGAUCCUAUGCUGCCGAGAAAAGCAUCGGCGUGAGGUUUUAGCCGCCCGUACCCUAAACCGACACAGGUGAUCAGGUAGAGAAUACUAAGGCGAUCGAGAGAAUCAUGGUUAAGGAACUCGGCAAAAUGCCCCCGUAACUUCGGGAGAAGGGGGGCCCUGAGCGUGAUCUGCCCGUGCGGUGGGGAGCGUGUAGGGGUCGCAGAGACCAGGGGGAAGCGACUGUUUAUCAAAAACACAGGUCCGUGCGAAGUCGUAAGACGAUGUAUACGGACUGACUCCUGCCCGGUGCUGGAAGGUUAAGAGGAUUGGUUAGCCUUUUUUGGCGAAGCUGAGAAUUUAAGCCCCAGUAAACGGCGGUGGUAACUAUAACCAUCCUAAGGUAGCGAAAUUCCUUGUCGGGUAAGUUCCGACCUGCACGAAUGGAGUAACGACUUCCCUACUGUCUCAACCAUGAACUCGGCGAAAUUGCAGUACGAGUAAAGAUGCUCGUUUCGCGCAGCAGGACGGAAAGACCCCGUGACCUUUACUAUAGUUUGGUAUUGGUGUUUGGUUUGGCUUGUGUAGGAUAGGUGGGAGACUGUGAAGCAUGGACGCUAGUUUGUGUGGAGUCGUUGUUGAAAUACCACUCUGGUCAAUCUGGAUGUCUAACUUCGGGCCAUGAUCUGGUUCAGGGACAGUGCCUGAUGGGUAGUUUAACUGGGGCGGUUGCCUCCUAAAGUGUAACGGAGGCGCCCAAAGGUUCCCUCAGCCUGGUUGGCAAUCAGGUGUUGAGUGUAAGUGCACAAGGGAGCUUGACUGUGAGACUGGCAGGUCGAGCAGGGACGAAAGUCGGGACUAGUGAUCCGGCGGUACGUUGUGGAACGGCCGUCGCUCAACGGAUAAAAGGUACCUCGGGGAUAACAGGCUGAUCUUGCCCAAGAGUCCAUAUCGACGGCAUGGUUUGGCACCUCGAUGUCGGCUCGUCGCAUCCUGGGGCUGGAGUCGGUCCCAAGGGUUGGGCUGUUCGCCCAUUAAAGCGGUACGCGAGCUGGGUUCAGAACGUCGUGAGACAGUUCGGUCCCUAUCCGCUGCGCGCGUUGGAAAUUUGAGAAAGGCUGUCCUUAGUACGAGAGGACCGGGACGGACGAACCUCUGGUAUGUCAGUUGUACCGCCAGGUGCAUGGCUGAUUGGCUACGUUCGGGAGGGAUAACCGCUGAAAGCAUCUAAGCGGGAAGCCUGUUUCGAGAUGAGAUUUCCUGGCACUUUGG
rnacentral:rRNA from 1 species